rnacentral:misc_RNA from 1 species
AAAUAACUUGUUUUAAUCCAACCAAACAUCUAAUUUAUAUUUUAAAUUUCAAAUCGAAAUCACUUGGGGCCUGAAUCCACCUAUUAAAAAUAAUUAUAACCUAUCCUUAAAAAACAUAAUAGUUCCUUUUUUACUAGCUUUGAAUAAAGGGGAAAAUAGAAAAAUAGAAAAACAUUCCUGUGGUUUGGGUCAUUAUGAAGUAGGGUCCUGUCACACCUUACCCCUCUGUAA